rnacentral:rRNA from 1 species
AUUGAACGCUGGCGGCAUGCCUUACACAUGCAAGUCGAACGGCAGCACGGGGGGUAACCCCUGGUGGCGAGUGGCGAACGGGUGAGUAAUAUAUCGGAACGUGUCCUGUAGCGGGGGAUAACCUAUCGAAAGAUGGACUAAUACCGCAUACGACCUACGGGUGAAAGCGGAGGACCGCAAGGCUUCGCACUAUAGGAGCGGCCGAUGUCGGAUUAGCUAGUUGGCGGGGUAACGGCCCACCAAGGCGACGAGCCGUAGCUGGUCUGAGAGGACGAUCCGCCACACUGGAAGUGAGACACGGUCCAGACUCCUACGGGAGGCAGCAGUGGGGAAUUUGGGACAAUGGGCGCAAGCCUGAUCCAGCCAUGCCGCGUGAGUGAAGAAGGCCUUCGGGUUGUAAAGAUCUUUCGGCGGGGACGAAACGGUUCGUGCUAAUACCACGGACUACUGACGGUACCCGCAGAAGAAGCACCGGCUAACUACGUG